UGAAGAGUUUGAUCAUGGCUCAGAUUGAACGCUGGCGGCAGGCCUAACACAUGCAAGUCGAACGGUAACAGGAAGCAGCUUGCUGCUUUGCUGACGAGUGGCGGACGGGUGAGUAAUGUCUGGGAAACUGCCUGAUGGAGGGGGAUAACUACUGGAAACGGUGGCUAAUACCGCAUAACGUCGCAAGACCAAAGAGGGGGACCUUCGGGCCUCUUGCCAUCAGAUGUGCCCAGAUGGGAUUAGCUUGUUGGUGAGGUAACGGCUCACCAAGGCGACGAUCCCUAGCUGGUCUGAGAGGAUGACCAGCCACACUGGAACUGAGACACGGUCCAGACUCCUACGGGAGGCAGCAGUGGGGAAUAUUGCACAAUGGGCGCAAGCCUGAUGCAGCCAUGCCGCGUGUAUGAAGAAGGCCUUCGGGUUGUAAAGUACUUUCAGCGGGGAGGAAGGUGUUGUGGUUAAUAACCGCAGCAAUUGACGUUACCCGCAGAAGAAGCACCGGCUAACUCCGUGCCAGCAGCCGCGGUAAUACGGAGGGUGCAAGCGUUAAUCGGAAUUACUGGGCGUAAAGCGCACGCAGGCGGUCUGUCAAGUCGGAUGUGAAAUCCCCGGGCUCAACCUGGGAACUGCAUUCGAAACUGGCAGGCUUGAGUCUUGUAGAGGGGGGUAGAAUUCCAGGUGUAGCGGUGAAAUGCGUAGAGAUCUGGAGGAAUACCGGUGGCGAAGGCGGCCCCCUGGACAAAGACUGACGCUCAGGUGCGAAAGC
rnacentral:rRNA from 1 species